AUGAUUGAACAGUAACAUUCACGUGCUUUCUACUUCACUAGAAAUCUUCGACAGAAUGCCCGUAAUUUCCGCAAAGUUGAAUGUUCACAAAAGUCGGUACUGUAGAUGGUUAAUAAGUUUUGAACCAUCUAAAGUUCUGUCUCACUUUGUUUUACAUGGCCUUUUCAACUUGAAACUUUGUAAUGGUUUUUAUUUGUUUCUUCUUUUUGGCAAGACACCAAUGCCCGAGGCUUUCAUGAAACAAUUUGAUUCCUCUUGUAUUGCAAUUUGUGUGAAUCUGCGAACAUAGUGACAAAAUCAUAUAUACCUCUUCCCAUGUCCAACUGAUUUAGGCAGUUACUCCUUGAAUAGUUCAAUGAUAAUCUGAGCUUCCGAAGUUGAAAAUACGGGUGGCUUUUAUGCAUUUUGUGUAUUGUGUUCUUACAUCUUUGCCUAUUGGUUUAAUAAUUUCUUUUGUGAUCAGGAAUAAAAAGUGUAAGAAAUAAUAUGGUAAAAUGACAUAGAGUGUGAACUUGUUGAAAACAUUGGACUUCCACUAUUGGUUCCUUUUGAGUUUAAAGACCUCUUUUACAUUUGCCUAUCACAUUCAUUCUCAUGAUACAGGUUUCAAAUUUUUGUGUUAUUCAUAUUUCUAUCCGAUGUUUUAUCAUUCUUUUGUACAGAGCCGAAGUAGCUUCCUUUAUAUGACUUUUAUCUGUUUGUUACCGCUAACAGUUUUAGUUUAUCACCUAUUCGAACCUUACCGAAACCCUAGAGUCGAGGCCCAGCCUUUUUCUUUUUUAUUUAUAGAGGACACAUACAUUUAUGUGGUAACUGCAGAUUGUGUAGUAGGGUGGAAAAUGGCACAUUAAAGAUUAGGGAUCAAAAUGGAAACCAACUCUUAGGGGUCAUCAAUGAAAUUUACCAAGUUUUAUUUAUCACACUGAACAUUUGGUUAUGUUGUUUUGUUUAAAUGUUCAUUCAAAUACAUGUUGAAGUUUUCGAUGUUUGGGCAUCCAAAAUUCGGAGUGAGUUUGUAUCAUUGUAUUUCUACCAUGUAGCUCUAGCUGGAAAGUGCUACUUUUCAGAAAAAUGUAAGCAAGCAAUCUUUUGUUUACCAACAUGUGAAUUAGAAGUUAGAUGAGGGCUAAUCAGGCUACAAUUUAUCAGAAUUCUUCUCAAUCGUCCUAUUUGCUGAAAUAGUCUGCUAAGCAUACGAUGGAUUAGCCAUUUGGUUUCUGCCAAUCAUAACUAACAGUGCAGUCUGCACUCAGUGUCGUCUCCUGUAGUCUUUAAAGGUCAUUCUCUGUAGUAUCUAAAUCGAUUGCAAAUGUAUUUUAUGAACCCAAGGUCCAUGACUACUGGUAAUUCAGUGUGAUAAUUCGCUUUUGUACUUGUAGAAUUUCAGGGCUACAUGUAGCGGCAAGUUGAAGUCGGGAGUAGCUUCAAUUUUUCUCUUCUCUGGGAAGAGCAAAUUGUUGAACCAAGAAUGCAGUGGUGUAGAUUAAUUAGAUGUAAGGUGCUCUGCAGGAGCUUCUUUCUCCUGAGAUCCAACAGGUCCAUAAGCACUUCUCGAUCAACAACCGAUCGGCCGGGUACCUUCACUAUGGUAUAUGAUGUAGUUUGUUUCUAUGAAGGUGACCUGCUUUGCAAGCAUGAUGAUAUUAACAUCAGUGGAGCUCUUUAGGUAUGUCGGUGUAUACGAUUGAUCGGAUGUGUCAAAAUCUGAUCAUCUUGGCCAUAUUGCUAUUGAUCGGAUGUGUCUUUUAUAGGCCAGCAGCCCAACCUAUUAGGCUUGAAGCUUGAAAUAAUGACCUUAAAUGUUAUAUACUAAAUUAAACUAAUGACCUUAAAUGGGGAUUAUAUCUGGA